CACGGACGCGGGGUGGAGCAGCUUGGUAGCUCGUCGGGCUCAUAACCCGAAGGUCGUCGGUUCAAAUCCGGCCCCCG
rnacentral:tRNA from 1 species